rnacentral:rRNA from 1 species
AUUUAACGCUGGCGGCAUGCCUAAUACAUGCAAGUCGAACGAGUGGCGGACGGGUGAGUAAUGUCUGUGAAACUUCCUGAUGAAGGGGGAUAACUGCUGGAACCAGUAGAUCAUGGCGCACACCAUCAGUUGUGCCCAGCUGGGAGUAGCUUGUUGGUGGGGUAACGGCUCACCAUGGCGACCAUCCAUAGCAGAUCUGAGAGGAUGACGAGCCACACUGGAACUGAGACACGGGCCAGACUCCUACGGGAGGCAGCAGUGGGGAAUAUUGCACAAUGUGCGAAAGCCUGAUGCAGCCAUGCCGCGUGUAUGAAGAAGGCCUUCGGGUUGUAAAGUACUUUCAGCGGGGAGGCGGUACCUGCAGAAGAAGCACCGGCUAACUCCGUGCCAGCAGCCGCGGUAAUAC